GAUGAACGCUAGCGGCAGGCCUAACACAUGCAAGUCGAACGAAGCCUUCGGGCUUAGUGGCGGACGGGUGAGUAACACGUGGGAACGUACCUUUUGGUUCGGAAUAACGCAGAGAAAUUUGCGCUAAUACCGAAUGAGCCCUUCGGGGGAAAGAUUUAUCGCCGAAAGAUCGGCCCGCGUUGGAUUAGGUAGUUGGUGUGGUAAAGGCGCACUAAGCCUACGAUCCAUAGCUGGUCUGAGAGGAUGAUCAGCCACACUGGGACUGAGACACGGCCCAGACUCCUACGGGAGGCAGCAGUGGGGAAUCUUAGACAAUGGGGGAAACCCUGAUCUAGCCAUGCCGCGUGAGCGAUGAAGGCCUUAGGGUUGUAAAGCUCUUUCAGUGGGGAAGAUAAUGACUGUACCCACAGAAGAAGCCCCGGCUAACUCCGUGCCAGCCGCCGCCGUAAAAC
rnacentral:rRNA from 1 species